rnacentral:rRNA from 1 species
GACGAACGCUGGCGGCGUGCUUAACACAUGCAAGUCGAACGGUAAGGCCCUUCGGGGUACACGAGUGGCGAACGGGUGAGUAACACGUGGGUGAUCUGCCCUGCACUUCGGGAUAAGCCUGGGAAACUGGGUCUAAUACCGGAUAGGACCACUGCCUGCAUGGGUGGUGGUGGAAAGCUUUUGCGGUGUGGGAUGGGCCCGCGGCCUAUCAGCUUGUUGGUGGGGUGAUGGCCUACCAAGGCGACGACGGGUAGCCGGCCUGGGAGGGUGACCGGCCACACUGGGACUGAGAUUCGGCCCAGACUCCUACGGGAGGCAGCAGCGGGGAAUAUUGCACAAUGGGCGCAAGCCUGAUGCAGCGACGCCGCGUGAGGGAUGACGGCCUUCGGGUUGUAAACCUCUUUCAGCACCGACGAAGCGCAAGUGACGGUAGGUGCAGAAGAAGGACCGGCCAACUACGUGCCAGCAGCCGCAGUAA